GUUUACUUCACUUUACGCGUAGUCGAUGCGCAGAUGAGUCACGUUCGCAUCGUGCUCCCGCAUCCUUUUCUUCCCGUGCGAAUUUUCUGUAUGAACGAGUGUCGGGAGUGCCGAAUCUAGUGACGAGCGAUCGUGUGUGAAUCUUGAUGUAUUAACUUAUCCACGAGGUUACGACGAAAGCGUUUCUCGGUCGGAUCGAAAUCGAUAUCCGUUGUUCCGCGUAUGGUCGAACCGGCGUUCGAAGGAUUCCAUUCUCUUCGCGCGAGCUUUUCAUGACGUUCGGUCGACGGGCUUCGCGAGUGUUUCACGCAUCGAGGAGCAUCGUGGAGCACCGAGGAACAUCGAGAAACAUGGAGAGAAAUAUCGAGAGACCGGUGGAUUGAUUGAGACAGGCCUGAAACGAGAACUCGAGGGUGACUCUGUCAGGAUUGAUCGUACGCGGCAAAGUGAAGGAUGAACGCAACCCUUGAACCUAACAAGCAACUACGAGGAAAAGUUGCAUUAAAGGAUUCGGUCGUCAAUCGACGACAAGGAUCUACGGAAUUGAUCGUUUCAUACCUGGUGAGACGGCGAGCGCGAGGAAGGCAGCUGCGGCAACGGCGAAGAGUAUCCUGAGGGCAUUUCCCGAGCCGUGCCGUCUUCUACCCGGC